rnacentral:rRNA from 1 species
AUGGCGGACGGGGAAACUAUCCCGGAAUUUGCCAGGAAACUCACCACGCUGGUGAGCGAAAUCCGCUCCCUCGGCGUCACCCUUGGGGAAGAGGCCGUGGUGGAGCGUCUGUUCAGCACCGUGCCGGAUCGCUUCGCCGACAUCGUCAACACCAUCGAGCAGUGGGGCGAUAUCGCCAUGAUGACGGUGCAGGAGGCUGUCGGACGCCUCACGGCGUUCGAGGAGAACCAGCGGGGG